UACCAGAUUUCGCUAGUGUCGCCUUUGUUGUUGUUACAUCGUGAAACAAGGUUGGGCGAAAUAGUUGGUUGCUAAUUUAUACUUAAAUUCCUGUGAUUUCAAGUACCGAAUUUAACUUCAUAUCUUAUAUGCAUACUGUCAUUCAUUCCAACAAGUUGACUUAGCGCUCAGUCAAUUUCCAUCCAAUAGACCCAUAAUGCUGUCCAAACCUAAAACUCAUAAUUGAAGCUCACAUAUAGUGGAAUACAAAUCUGCCGAGUUAAGGACUUUUCUGAAUCUCGCAAUUUUAGCUGUCAAAACCUAAAACUCAUGUUUGCAGCAUGUUUGAAGCUCACAUAUAGUUGAAUACAAAUCUGCCGAGUUAAGAGUUUCAGUGACUUGAAGAGUCUGAUGUGAAUAAUGCCGUGUGUAUGCAUACAUGUUCCAGUUCUGGUUGACGCCUUACUAAAUUCAUCACCCAUAUGAUAAAGCAUCAGGAAAUGUAUCUCAACAUGAGGAGUAAGACUGUUUGUUCCUGUGAUUUCCAUUUUUACGGUUUUUUCAUCAUGAAAAUUGAAGUGUGCUUCUUAGAAAAGAGCACACAGUUUCUUUAUGGAAUCGUGUGGUCCUGGCACGGAGAUUCUUGUGCCAAUG
rnacentral:lncRNA from 1 species